UACAGAGGGUGCGAGCGUUAAUCGGAAUUACUGGGCGUAAAGCGUGCGUAGACGGUUAUUUAAGUCGGGUGUGAAAGCCCCGGGCUCAACCUGGGAAUUGCAUUUGAGACUGAAUAGCUAGGGUGCGGAAGAGGGAAGCGGAAUUUCCGGUGUAGCGGUGAAAUGCGUAGAUAUCGGGAGGAACACCAGUGGCGAAGGCGACUUCCUGGCCUGUUCUUGACGCUGAGGCGCGAAAGCUAGGGGAGCAAACGGG
rnacentral:rRNA from 1 species